UACGAAGGGGGGCUAGCGUUGCUCGGAAUCACUGGGCGUAAAGGGUGCGUAGGCGGGUCUUUUAAGUCAGGGGUGAAAUCCUGGAGCUCAACUCCAGAACUGCCUUUGAUACUGAAGAUCUUGAGUUCGGGAGAGGUGAGUGGAACUGCGAGUGUAGAGGUGAAAUUCGUAGAUAUUGGGAGGAACACCAGUGGCGAAGGCGGCUCACUGGACCGGUUCUGACGCUGAGGCGCGAAAGCGUGGGGAGCAAACGGG
rnacentral:rRNA from 1 species